rnacentral:lncRNA from 1 species
CUCCUGCAGAGGUGCUCUCCCUCAAACCCCACACUUUUUCUUGUGCAAAAACAAGGGCUUUCCAGCCGAUUAUCUAUACCUAUAAUUACACCUGAGAGGCCAGAUGGUCACCUGCUGAUGGGAAGGUGACCUAGCAGGUAACCACCUAACAAACAGAGCUCUGCCAGGGUGACACAAGACAUAAAGGAGCCAACAGCCAAGGUGAUACAUGUGCCAGUCUGCAAAGAGCUCUGUCGGCUGCAUUGAUGGCGAAGGGGGGGAAUUGCAUGAAGAACGAACCAAGUACUUACCACUGAUUUCUGAAUAAAUAAUUUUUUCCUCUUUAAAAGAAAAGACUUAGUAAAAGAGAUUUGUUGUUUUCUCUUUCUCCACCACCCUCCCGUACUGUCACAGUUGUGUGGGGUCCUUUGGUUCCCCCUGCUGUCACCCUGAAACGGCACAGGGUGGGCUGUGGCUCCAGCCAGCCGUGGGAGUGGGAAACUAACGAGGAUGGGCUCCGCCGGCAAGCGCUCCCGCAUCCCACAGCUCCCACGGUGCUGCCGUCGACAGCUGUGAGAGCGGGAGGCCAGCGGUAAUAAAAGCCACCAAGCCCCCCCUCCGUGCCUCACCGCCCCCGGGGAGAGUCUCAGGGAGCCGGGCAGAGCUCUGGGGUCCACCGGAGAGGGCUCUCCCAGCUGGCUUCCACCGAAGGCUGGAUUUUGCCGUUCCUCUGCCCCAUCUCCCACACGUGCUGGUGAAGGGAUUUGGCGCCCGCAGCACUCUGAGGCACCCCAGAAGGUUCACCACCAUGGCUGCUGGCCUGGAGAAAGCCUGCCACCGGUGCAUAUCCAAAAUUGCCAGCAAUGUGCCUACAAGCAAAAUGUUACCAUUCCCUGCUAUUAAAUUACCACUGGAACUUCAAUGAUGACAGAGAAAAUAAUUAAUCCUUCUGAUUCUUUAAAAAUGUUUGGGAUUAGUUCUGAUCUCACCUAUGCUAUUCUACACCAGAAGCACCCUCUUGGGUACCUGAAAAGUUACCCAUGAGUAAGGAACUCAGAAAUACCAUCCCAGAAAAGUAUCUUCAGGUUCUUAUCAUGCUUAAGUUCAACAUAAGUUCAGCUUUAGCUAUGGAUCAGCUAGUGCAUCCAAAAUUUAUCUGAUAUUUAUUAAAAUGCAAGCCCUCAUGAAGAGCAGUAAUGCCUAAUUUCCUUUUCCUCAUCAUUCUGCAUAUAUUUUUCAAAGAGCUUUUCAGCAAAACCCCUCCUUUUAACCUUUGGUCUCCUGGUAUUUAAAUAACUCCCAAGAGCCAACCCACCUGCACCUGUGGAGCAUCUUUUCAUUCUUGGUGUAGCAAUUUAAAUUCAGUCUUCAAUUUACUGAUCAAAAUAAAAAAGAGUAAUCUACUACCCUGGGUCUACUGCAAAGCAAACUAAAUGGCUCUAUAUGUAGUGCCUAAAUAUUGUUUUAAAAUUACUUCUGGAAAUUAUUCACAAGGGUCCAAAUCCAGAAUUUAGACCAUGGCAUAAGUGUAGUUCAGUAUCCAGAGACAUAAUAUAAAAUUCAGGCUAGACAAUCUGCAAUAUUGCUCAACCCCCAAAGCACCUACACCUAGGUGAUGCAAUGCUGAUAUCCAUGUGCCAAAGUUCUAUUUUGCAGUAAUUCAACCUUGCCUAAGCAAAGAGUGAUGGAACACAGCAAACAGCUGGUGGCCCUGAGCUGGGAUUUGAUCAGUUUUCUCGCACUUCCCCUGCCUCAAAUGGUGGCUUUGCACUGGAAGCAGUGGCCUCAAUGAAAAUGGCUGUUCCUUGUCCUGAAUCCUGCAGCUUCUGAGUAUCCAGUUUGGUCAACGGAUUAAAUCACACCAGGGAUGGGAUUCCUGUCAUUCAUCCCCAGAGACCAGUCCAUCAAUAUAUCUCCUUGCUAUGGCAUUUGGCCUCAUGAACAGAGCAGUCUUUGGUUUCAAGACAGUCUCAAGGAUAUCUCAUGUCUCUACCCUUUGGAUCACUCACAGGUCUAGUUUUGAGUGCUCAAACCUUGCUGUUAUUUUCUCAUUUGGUGGUGGCUGGCCAAGCUGAAC